rnacentral:sRNA from 1 species
UAGUGGAUCAGGAGGAUCCGAGAUGAC